rnacentral:rRNA from 1 species
GACGAACGCUGGCGGCGUGCCUAAUACAUGCAAGUCGAACGCUUCUUUCCUCCCGAGUGCUUGCACUCAAUUGGAAAGAGGAGUGGCGGACGGGUGAGUAACUCGUGGGUAACCUACCCAUCAGAGGGGGAUAACACUUGGAAACAGGUGCUAAUACCGCAUAACAGUUUAUGCCGCAUGGCAUAAGAGUGAAAGGCGCUUUCGGGUGUCGUUGAUGGAUGGACCCGCGGUGCAUUAGCUAGUUGGUGAGGUAACGGCUCACCAAGGCCACGAUGCAUAGCCGACCUGAGAGGGUGAUCGGCCACACUGGGACUGAGACACGGCCCAGACUCCUACGGGAGGCAGCAGUAGGGAAUCUUCGGCAAUGGACGAAAGUCUGACCGAGCAACGCCGCGUGAGUGAAGAAGGUUUUCGGAUCGUAAAACUCUGUUGUUAGAGAAGAACAAGGACGUUAGUAACUGAACGUCCCCUGACGGUAUCUAACCAGAAAGCCACGGCUAACUACGUG